rnacentral:lncRNA from 1 species
UGUAACGGAUUGCCUGGCACCCCGACUGGGUACCUCCGUUGAAGGAUGCUCCUAGCGCUUCCUGAGGACUCCAAGCACUCUGGCAGACACCACAACCACCGAAUCGGAGAAGCAUAUGAAUGCUCUCAAGCAUAUGAAUGCUGUAGACAGUUGAAUAGGAACCAUACAAAUAGGUUUACUCUCCUAGCAGUCAAACUGGAACAGCAUACAAUAAAUCCUUCCCCCAAU